AGUGAACGCUGGCGGUAGGCCUAACACAUGCAAGUCGAACGGCAGCACAGUAAGAGCUUGCUCUUACGGGUGGCGAGUGGCGGACGGGUGAGGAAUACAUCGGAAUCUACUUUUUCUUGGGGGAUAACGUAGGGAAACUUACGCUAAUACCGCAUACGACCUACGGGUGAAAGCAGGGGAUCUCCGGACCUUGCGCGAUUGACUGAGCCGAUGUCGGAUUAGCUAGUUGGCGGGGUAAAGGCCCACCAAGGCUACGAUCCGUAGCUGGUCUGAGAGGAUGAUCAGCCACACUGGAACUGAGACACGGUCCAGACUCCUACGGGAGGCAGCAGUGGGGAAUAUUGGACAAUGGGCGCAAGCCUGAUCCAGCCAUACCGCGUGGGUGAAGAAGGCCUUCGGGUUGUAAAGCCCUUUUGUUGGGAAAGAAAAGCAGCAGGUUAAUACCCCGCUGUUCUGACGGUACCCAAAGAAUAAGCACCGGCUAACUUCGUG
rnacentral:rRNA from 1 species